GUCCAGGGAUGGGAAUCGAACCCACAGUGUUCCGCUUACUGGGCAGAUGCCAUGUCCACUAAGCUACCCUGGA